CCUUAUUUGUCUUAGUAAUAUCUUUGGUCUUAUCACCUGCACCAGAUCGAGGAAAUCAUUCGUUUCCUUUUCUUCUUCCUUCUUUCUUUCGUCUCUUCUUUCUUCUUCUCCGUUCCGUCUCUGUUGUUCUUCUGAUAUUGUUUUUCCGUGUGUAACAAUGAAAAAAAUCGAUUGAUGUUGUUGUGAAUGUGAAGAAGGUGGAGGUGUUGUUGUUAUGAAUUAGGAAGGAGAAGAAGAUUAGGGUUCCUGAGUAAUGAAAUUGAACAAGUAAUUAUGUGGAAUUGAGUAAUAAGAACUCAGAGGAUUCUUAAUUGAGUUGUUUACGGUUAAAGACAAAGGGGUUGAUGUUUGAUUGGAGUUGUAGAAUUGUUCUGAAGAUGAAUCGAAUUCAGGGUUUCAAAGAGAAAUACUUUUAAGGUUGAUUUCGUGAUGAAUAAGAAGAUUUAAGGAGUGGUUUAGUUGAUUGAGGAACAUGGUGAAGUUAAUUAGAUAUUGGAGCUGUAUUGGUGAAAAUCUGAUAGAUUUUAGGGUUUCUUGUUCAUUUCAUAAGAUGAUGAUGGAAGUUGAAGAUGGGUUAUGAGUAAUUUAAUUAUUGGGGAGGAAUUAGAAGAUGGGUUUACUCAAUUUGAGAAUUUGGUUGAUGUUUUACCAAGCUGGUUUGAGGACAGAAGUGAGACAAUUGAUGUUGUGAUGAUGAAUAUCGCAGCUACAUUGAACUAGUGGUGCAGAAAUGGUUGAAAUGAGUAUGAUUGUGGUGUCUGUGUUAUGGUGAUGUUUAAGAGGAUUGGAUGAAGUUAAUCUGGUGAUGAAGUCAGUUAAUGAAUAUGGAAUUGAUAUUACAGAUACUUUGUUGAGGUGUUUGUUCGGUGAGCUUAACUGAGUUAUUGGUGGUUGGUAAUUGUUGUUGUGAAUUGAAUUACAGGGAUUGUAUUGGAACUGAAUUGAGAUGUUGUAGGGGGUAUGGUAUGGUGAGGUACAAGGUUCUGGUAAAUGGUUAUGAAACUGGGAAGUAAGAGGAAGUUGAGUUGAGAGUGUGUUGAUAGAAUGAAGAAAAGUUGGAAUGGUGAUUAGAAUUGUAAAUAGAGGUUGUUGUGAAAGCUUGGAACUGCUUUUGCAGGUAAGCUGAAUUGUGAUUUAGAAUGCACUUGUUAUAAGUUAUUUGUGUUCAAUGUACUGUUGUAUUGAAUUGAUGUUGAAAUGUAAAAUUAGUAGAUGAAGGUGUAAGAUUUAGACUUGAA